UGGCGGCGUGCCUAACACAUGCAAGUCGAACGGUGAUGAGCAGAAAUUUCGGAUGGAAGCUGAUCAUAGUGGCGGACGGGUGAGUAACGCGUGGAUAACCUGCCUCUCGCUGGGGGAUAGCAGCCGGAAACGGCUGGUAAUACCGCAUACGUUCAUUUCCCCGCAUGGGGAGGUGAGGAAAGAUUUAUCGGCGAGAGAUGGAUCCGCGUCUGAUUAGCCAGUUGGCGGGGUAACGGCCCACCAAAGCGACGAUCAGUAGCCGGCCUGAGAGGGUGAUCGGCCACAUUGGGGACUGAGACACGGCCCAAACUCCUACGGGAGGCAGCAGUGGGGGAUAUUGCACAAUGGGCGCAAGCCUGAUGCAGCGACGCCCGCGUGAGUGAAGAAGUAUUUCGGUAUGUAAAGCUCUAUCGGCAGGGAAGAAAGGCCCGCAAGGGAGAUGACGGUACCUGACUAAGAGGCCCCGGCUAACUACGUGCCAGCCGCUGC
rnacentral:rRNA from 1 species